UACGUAGGGUGCAAGCGUUAAUCGGAAUUACUGGGCGUAAAGCGUGCGCAGGCGGUUCGCUAAGUCCGAUGUGAAAUCCCCGGGCUUAACCUGGGAACUGCAUUGGUGACUGGCGGGCUAGAGUAUGGCAGAGGGGGGUAGAAUUCCACGUGUAGCAGUGAAAUGCGUAGAGAUGUGGAGGAAUACCGAUGGCGAAGGCAGCCCUCUGGGCCAAUACUGACGCUCAUGCACGAAAGCGUGGGGAGCAAACAGG
rnacentral:rRNA from 1 species